CCGUGUUUGCUUUAUGCGGGCUAUUACUGCUCGAACUAUCAAACGUGCCAAGAAAUCACGUCUGCACGUGGCGCCAUUUUUUAAAGCCGAAAUUUUCUGCGUGAUUUGGCAGAAUUUAUCAAAGCCGGAGCGUUCUUCCACCAACCUUACACAUAUCACUAACCCAGACAUAGAUGUCAGAUGUACUUGCUGUCACCAAACCUUCUUCAACUGUCAUGAUCAUGCCAGGCACAAGAACCAUAUACAGAAGAUUCUGUGACUCAGCACCACUCAUGCAAACCAGCAGUGGUCGACUCCCCAUCAGCCCAUCCGUAAACUUUGAGGGCGCUCUUCUCUCAGUCAAGAGAAAUCCUACUUCUUCACACGCUGCCGGACGUCACUGCAGCAGGCUGCUCACUGAACUGCAAACUAUUCAACAGUUGAUCUGAUGAGCUACAUGGACACAGUCUGCGACGAACAGGAGAUAUGUCUCGUUUGGAUGUCGUGGGAUGCAUUCAUCACAUGUUCCCUUCUACUAGUACAUUGGAUCUGUGCAGAAUUCUGUACAGAAUUCAGCAGCUACACCGUUGCCAGCAAGACCUGAACUCACUCGAAUUGACUUCCUCUAAAUAUCAGUUGCCUUUAGACUCUCAAUCUCACAGUGCCAUGAGUUGCGGUUUCUCAUUUUUUGCCGGACAAGUGAAAGGUCCGCAGGCACUGCUUGAAGAGCUGCAUUUUUCUCCAACUGGACAAAGAGUGACUCCAAGGAUGCCCAACUCUUGAGCUGCAUCCCUUCGCCAGUCACACCAAGGGCUUCCAAGACUGUUGAGAAAUGAUAUGGGAAUGAUACGUGUCGUACAGAGUUUUUUUUGCCAGACUCAAAAACACUGGAUGAUUCACAUUGAUUGAUUGCAAUCUGGCAGAAAGUUUUGAAGACCUUUUUGGAAAUGGAAGCCUCUUUUGAAAGGGAACUCUCGUGAAAUGGAACUCUUGUGGAAUGGAACUCUCUUGAGCUUGAACUAUAUUGGCAUGGAACUUUUUUGAAAUGGAACUCUUUUAACAAGAAACUCUUUAGAAAUGGAACUUUAUUGAAUCAGAACUCUUUUGAGAUGGAACUCUUUUAAAUGGAACUCUUUUGACACGGAACGCUGUUGAAACGGAACUCUUUUGACACGGAACUCUUUUGACAUGGAACUCUUUUGACAUGGAACUCUUUUGCAAUGGAACUCUUUUGGAAUGGAAGUAUUUUGACACAGAACUCUUUUGAAACGGAACUCUUUUGAAACGGAAGUUCUUAUAUUUAAGAAGUAGAGGUCUCUCUUUCCUUUAGUUCACUAGAGGUCUUCAGAAAUCACCUCUGUGGCCUCUAUGCAAAAUGGGUUGCCUCGGGUAACCACAGUUUGAAAGAUGUCAAGAAUAUUGAAAAGCUGAUGCAAAAUUUGUCGUUCACAACAUUUGAUGAUGAAUUAGCACAAAAGUCAUCAUGUAAAAAAAAAUUGGACAUGAUCCUCUAAAAUAUUGUCUGCAAAGAAAAUUGUUGCACAAAAGCCCUCAAACCAUAAUAUUCUUUUGGUGAACCUAUGAUUAAUGGCACUCAUAGCUGAGAUCAAAUCAAACCACAGUUCAUGAAGAUGGAGGAGAGGCCUCUACAAAUGCCACGUAACCAGCCUCUCACAGCAGUCAGUUGUGCAGGCGCAGUUCAUAAAAGCCAUUAGGCACUGGUUUCAUUGACCAUAUUCAGUUCUAUUCAUUAGCUUGAAACGGUCACUUAUUGCAAAAAGGACAGUUUAAGCGCUGCAUUUCAAUUUUGUAAAGUUGCAUUCUUUUUUCGUGCAUUCUUGAAAGAAUCAAACAAUUUCUUGGACAAGAUUCGCUAAAACCAAGGACUGCUCAAAAUGCAGAAAGUCCUCUCGUAGAGAAAUGUUUAUGAUACAAUGUUUAUAACAGAGAGAGCUGGUUACGUUUAAUUGAUAUUUUAAUCUGAAACAUUUCUUUAUGGCAUUGCCUGAUUGGUAAUAGCUGGGUGCAAGAUUGGUUUCUCUCCAACAAAAUUCGUUGAAAACAAACUAUGUUUACACACAAUUUGAACCCACUUCUUUGAACCAAACUUUUGAUAUUUGCUGUAUUGAACCCAAAAUUUCUCAUUUAGACUAAAAUUUGGUUCAAAUUUAAAUCAAAAACUGUUUUAGAUUCUCAAAAGUCCAAAUUUCCUUGCAUUAAAACUAUGAGCUGGAAAUACUCUGUCAAAAAUCCAAUGUUGCCAACAAAUAUACAAACUUAACUUUUUGUUUCUAUAUCUCCAAAUUUGUCUUCAGAAAUGAGUUUUCAAAAUCCUUGGUGCAUUUUCCAGUACAUCAUAACUUAGCUACCACUAUCAGCAGCCAUGCCAAUCUUGUACCCAGCUUUUGUUUAUCAAGUAUAGCCAGCACUGGUCAAAUGUAUUAAGAUAAAUUUUGGCUGUGAAUGCAAAAUAUUGGCGUUAAUCACACAUUUUCCAAAAAGUUGCAAACUGUGUAUUUUCAAUUUCAAAGUGAAAACACUCAGAAAAUCACAAAAAUAACAGUUACUUGACAAUUUCCUUUUCACGAAGCUGUUUUUGCAUAAGCGCGCAUGUUGACAACCUCAAGAAAGCAGUUUUUACUUGUUCAUUUGUCAAGCAAUACAAAAACAAAUGCUUCAUUACUUACUGAGUGCCAAUGAUCAAAACUUUAUCCUCGCUCUAAAAAACAAACAGAAAAAAAAUGAUGCUUCCAGUGCUGGCUGUACAUACAUGUACAUUUCAUAGUCUUUUAUGAUAAUUUGUUGAGUAACCAACCAAUAUACUUGACGUUUAACCAACAGGCAAUGUUCUGAUACACUUGAGCCCAACGCAUGCAAGUCCCCCCGGGGCGUGCACGUGUGGUGUUCCCCGCCCGCAGAUGCCGGCUUGUCUGGU
rnacentral:lncRNA from 1 species